rnacentral:rRNA from 1 species
AACGAACGCUGGCGGCAUGCCUAACACAUGCAAGUCGAACGAGACCUUCGGGUCUAGUGGCGCACGGGUGCGUAACGCGUGGGAAUCUGCCCUUGGGUUCGGGAUAACAGUUGGAAACGACUGCUAAUACUGGAUGAUGACUUCGGUCCAAAGAUUUAUCGCCCAGGGAUGAGCCCGCGUCGGAUUAGCUAGUUGGUGGGGUAAAGGCCUACCAAGGCGACGAUCCGUAGCUGGUCUGAGAGGAUGAUCAGCCACACUGGGACUGAGACACGGCCCAGACUCCUACGGGAGGCAGCAGUGGGGAAUAUUGGACAAUGGGCGAAGGCCUGAUCCAGCAAUGCCGCGUGAGUGAUGAAGGCCUUAGGGUUGUAAAGCUCUUUUACCCGGGAUGAUAAUGACAGUACCGGGAGAAUAAGCCCCGGCUAACUCCGUGCCAGCAGCCGCCGUAAAAC